rnacentral:rRNA from 1 species
GAGAGUGGCGGGAAGGGAUGUGCGGUAAUACGGAGGGGGGGGCGGUUGGCGGGAAGCACGGGGCGGAAAGGUCGCGUAGGCGGUGCGGAAAGGCGUCGGUGAGAGCUCAGGGCUCAACUCUGAGUCGGCCGGUGAUACUCGCGCGCUCGAGCUCACGAGAGGCAGAGGGAAUUCCGGGUGUAGCGGUGGGAGGCGUAGAGAUCCGGAAGAACACCGGUGGCGAAGGCGGUCUGCUGGGGUGAGGCUGACGCUGAUGCGCGACAGCGUGGGGAGCAAACAGGAUUAGAUACCCUGGUAGUC